GAGUUUGAUCAUGGCUCAGGAUGAACGCUAGCGGCAGGCUUAAUACAUGCAAGUCGAGGGGCAGCAGCCUGGUAGCAAUACCGGGGCUGGCGACCGGCAAACGGGUGCGGAACACGUACAGAACCUUCCUUUAAGCGGGGCAUAGCCCACCGAAAGGUGGAUUAAUACCCCAUAGUAUGGUGAAGAGGCAUCUCUUUAUUAUUAAAGAUUUAUCACUUAAAGAUGGCUGUGCGGCUGAUUAGAUAGUUGGCGGGGUAACGGCCCACCAAGUCUGCGAUCAGUAACUGGUGUGAGAGCACGACCAGUCACACGGGCACUGAGACACGGGCCCGACUCCUACGGGAGGCAGCAGUAAGGAAUAUUGGUCAAUGGACGCAAGUCUGAACCAGCCAUGCCGCGUGAAGGAUGAAGGUCCUCUGGAUUGUAAACUUCUUUUAUAUGGGACGAAAAAAGUUUUUUCUAAAACAACUGACGGUACCAUGUGAAUAAGCACCGGCUAACUCCGUGCCAGCCGCCGCGGU
rnacentral:rRNA from 1 species